UACGGAGGGGGCAAGCGUUAUCCGGAUUUACUGGGUUUAAAGGGUGCGUAGGUGGAUUUGUAAGUCAGUGGUGAAAUCUCCGGGCUUAACCCGGAAACUGCCAUUGAUACUAUAAGUCUUGAAUUAUCUGGAGGUAAGCGGAAUAUGUCAUGUAGCGGUGAAAUGCUUAGAUAUGACAUAGAACACCAAUUGCGAAGGCAGCUUACUACGGAUAUAUUGACACUGAGGCACGAAAGCGUGGGGAUCAAACAGG
rnacentral:rRNA from 1 species